rnacentral:rRNA from 1 species
UACGAAGGGUGCAAGCGUUACUCGGAAUUACUGGGCGUAAAGCGUGCGUAGGCGGUUCGUUAAGUCUGUCGUGAAAGCCCUGGACUCAACCUGGGAAUUGCGAUGGAUACUGGCGAGCUAGAGUACGGUAGAGGAUGGUGGAAUUCCCGGUGUAGCGGUGAAAUGCGUAGAGAUCGGGAGGAACACCCGUGGCGAAGGCGGCCAUCUGGACCAGUACUGACGCUGAGGCACGAAAGCGUGGGGAGCAAACAGG